GUGCCAGCAGCCGCGGUAAUACGGAGGAUCCGAGCGUUAUCCGGAUUUAUUGGGUUUAAAGGGUGCGUAGGCGGCCUAUUAAGUCAGGGGUGAAAUACGGUGGCUCAACCAUCGCAGUGCCUUUGAUACUGAUGGGCUUGAAUCCAUUUGAAGUGGGCGGAAUAAGACAAGUAGCGGUGAAAUGCAUAGAUAUGUCUUAGAACUCCGAUUGCGAAGGCAGCUCACUAAGCUGGUAUUGACGCUGAUGCACGAAAGCGUGGGGAUCGAACAGGAUUAGAUACCCUGGUAGUCCACGCCCUAAACGAUGAUAACUCGAUGUUGGCGAUAGACAGCCAGCGUCCCAGCGAAAGCGUUGAGUUAUCCACCUGGGGAGUACGCCCGCAAGGGUGAAACUCAAAGGAAUUGACGGGGGCCCGCACAAGCGGAGGAGCAUGUGGUUUAAUUCGAUGAUACGCGAGGAACCUUACCCGGGCUUGAAAGUUAGUGAAGAGUGCAAAGACGCACUCGUCCUUCGGGACACGAAACUAGGUGCUGCAUGGCU
rnacentral:rRNA from 1 species